AGAGAGUUGGCUGCUUAUAAAGCAGUAACCGGCAUAUUAAUUUUCUUGAUCUUGGGUGUCAUUCUGCUUCAGUUCAGUCGGCCCAUGUACAAAGCCAUCCGCAAAAGAUUUUCACAAAAACGGCAGAGUCGCUGGAUCGGCCCGACUGAGAGUGUGUGCUAUCACAGAGGUCAAGGUCCCGCAAACAAAAACACAGAGAAGAGACAGUCCUUUCCUGGUUUGGAGAGGCUGACGGUAAACCAGAGCAGAGAGCCCUCAUCCAACAGAAACAGUGACUAUGACUCAUACGGCAACAGCUGAAGGCCUGUGCUCACAAAAGACUUACUGACCCUAAGCAGAACUCUCUCGUCAUCAACAAUCAGCAGAUUUUAAAUUACACUGCUUCGGUUGUUUGGCAAGUCAAGAAAGGUGUAUAUAUAUAUUUGAAAAGUGCUGCCGCUGAGAAAUCCAUUUAGGAUAAAAUGUAAAAAAAGUAAAUUGUGAUGAUUUAGUCUCAGCAUAACAACAAUUAGCAGGCUUCAUUUUAUUUUAUUUUUUUAUGUUUUGUAAUGACUUGAUUUUGCUAUAUUUGUAUUUUGGUAUUGUUUUUAAAUAGUCAGAAACAAAAUAGGAUUUUGCCUAUGUUCUGAAUGAUAUAGGCUUUUUAAAAAAAAAAUUAUUUAUGCAAGUGAUUGAUUUUUGAGUUGAAGUAUGAAUAAUUUUAAAUAAACUAC